GACGAACGCUGGCGGCGUGCUUAACACAUGCAAGUCGAACGGUGACGGAGAGCUUGCUCUCCUGAUCAGUGGCGAACGGGUGAGUAACACGUGGGCAACCUGCCCCAGACUUCGGGAUAACGCUUCGAAAGAGGUGCUAAUACCGAAUACGAACGCCGUGGGCAUCCACGGUGUUGGAAAGUUUUUCGGUCUGGGAUGGGCCCGCGGCCUAUCAGCUUGUUGGUGAGGUAAUGGCUCACCAAGGCGACGACGGGUAGCCGGCCUGAGAGGGCGACCGGCCACACUGGGACUGAGACACGGCCCAGACUCCUACGGGAGGCAGCAGUGGGGAAUAUUGCGCAAUGGGCGAAACCCUGAUGCAGCAACGCCGCGUGAGUGAUGACGGUCUUCGGGUUGUAAAGCUCCGUCUUCAGGGACGAUAAUGACGGUACCUGAGGAGGAAGCCACGGCUAACUACGUGCCAGCCGCCGCCGUAAAAC
rnacentral:rRNA from 1 species